rnacentral:rRNA from 1 species
GGGUGAUCGGCCGCACUGGAACUGAGACACGGUCCAGACUCCUACGGGAGGCAGCAGUGGGGAAUUUUGCGCAAUGGACGAAAGUCUGACGCAGCAACGCCGCGUGGGUGAUGAAGGUCUUCGGAUUGUAAAACCCUGUCGUCGGGGACGAAGGUUGGGGGGUUAAUAGCCCUUUAGCUUGACGGUACCCGGAGAGGAAGCCCCGGCUAACUCUGUGCCAGCAGCCGCGGUAAUACAGAGGGGGCAAGCGUUAUUCGGAAUUAUUGGGCGUAAAGGGCGCGUAGGCGGUGAUUCAAGUCGGAUGUGUAAUCCCCGAGCUCAACUUGGGAACUGCAUCCGAGACUGUGUUGCUAGAGUGCUGGAGAGGGUGGUGGAAUUCCUCGUGUAGCGGUGAAAUGCGUAGAGAUGAGGAGGAACACCAGUGGCGAAGGCGGCCACCUGGACAGUAACUGACGCUGAGGCGCGAAAGUGUGGGGAGCAAACAGGAUUAGAUACCCUGGUAGUCCACGCUGUAAACGAUGAACACUUGGUGUGGUGGGAGUUGACCCCUGCCGUGCCGUAGCUAACGCGAUAAGUGUUCCGCCUGGGGAGUACGGUCGCAAGGCUGAAACUCAAGGGAAUUGACGGGGGCCCGCACAAGCGGUGGAGCAUGUGGUUUAAUUCGACGCAACGCGAAGAACCUUACCUGGGCUUGAACUGCUACGGACCGGUGCAGAGAUGUGCCUUUUCGCAAGAAUCGUAGCAGAGGUGCUGCAUGGCUGUCGUCAGCUCGUGUCGUGAGAUGUUAGGUUAAGUCCCGCAACGAGCGCAACCCUUACCUGUAGUUGCCAGCGAGUCAAGUCGGGAACUCUACAGGGACUGCCCGGGUUAACCGGGAGGAAGGUGGGGAUGAUGUCAAGUCCUCAUGGCCCUUAUGUCCAGGGCUACACACGUGCUACAAUGGGCGAUACAAACCGUUGCCAAGUCGCGAGAUGGAGCUAAUCGGAGAAAGUCGCCCUCAGUUCGGAUUGCAGGCUGCAACUCGCCUGCAUGAAGGUGGAAUCGCUAGUAAUCGUGUAUCAGAACGAUACGGUGAAUACGUUCCCGGGCCUUGUACACACCGCCCGUCACAUCACGAAAGCCGGGAGCACUUGAAGAGGCUGCGGCAACCCGCAAGGGGGCUAGGUCUCUAUGGUGAACUUGGUGAUUGGGGUGAAGUCGUAACAAGGUA